rnacentral:rRNA from 1 species
GCCCACGACACCUUGCUUAGCCACACCCUCAAGGGAACUCAGCAGUGAUAAACAUUAAGCCAUAAGUGAAAACUUGACUUAGCCAAAGCUAAGAGGGCCGGUAAAACUCGUGCCAGCCACCGCGGUUAUACGAGAGACCCAAGGUGAUAGACCUCGGCGUAAAGAGUGGUUAGGAAAGAACUAAAACUAAAGCCGAACAUCUUCAGAACUGUUAUACGUAUUCGAAGGCGAGAAGAUCAACUACGAAAGUGGCUUUAUAACC